AGAGUUUGAUCCUGGCUCAGAUUGAACGCUGGCGGCAUGCCUUACACAUGCAAGUCGAACGGUAACGCGGGGCAACCUGGCGACGAGUGGCGAACGGGUGAGUAAUGCAUCGGAACGUGCCCAGUAGUGGGGGAUAGCCCGGCGAAAGCCGGAUUAAUACCGCAUACGACCUAAGGGUGAAAGCGGGGGAUCGCAAGACCUCGCGCUAUUGGAGCGGCCGAUGUCAGAUUAGGUAGUUGGUGAGGUAAAGGCUCACCAAGCCUUCGAUCUGUAGCUGGUCUGAGAGGACGACCAGCCACACUGGGACUGAGACACGGCCCAGACUCCUACGGGAGGCAGCAGUGGGGAAUUUUGGACAAUGGGCGCAAGCCUGAUCCAGCCAUGCCGCGUGCGGGAAGAAGGCCUUCGGGUUGUAAACCGCUUUUGUCAGGGAAGAAACGCUCUGGGCUAAUACCCCGGGGUAAUGACGGUACCUGAAGAAUAAGCACCGGCUAACUACGUGCCAGCAGCCGCGGUAAUACGUAGGGUGCAAGCGUUAAUCGGAAUUACUGGGCGUAAAGCGUGCGCAGGCGGUUAUGCAAGACAGAUGUGAAAUCCCCGGGCUUAACCUGGGAACUGCAUUUGUGACUGCAUGGCUAGAGUGCGGCAGAGGGGGAUGGAAUUCCGCGUGUAGCAGUGAAAUGCGUAGAUAUGCGGAGGAACACCGAUGGCGAAGGCAAUCCCCUGGGCCUGCACUGACGCUCAUGCACGAAAGCGUGGGGAGCAAACAGGAUUGGAUACCCUGGUAGUCCACGCCCUAAACGAUGUCAACUGGUUGUUGGAAGGGUUCCCUUUCAGUAACGAAGCUAACGCGUGAAGUUGACCGCCUGGGGAGUACGGCCGCAAGGUUGAAACUCAAAGGAAUUGACGGGACCCGCACAAGCGGUGGAUGAUGUGGUUUAAUUCGAUGCAACGCGAAAAACCUUACCUACCCUUGACAUGUCUGGAAUUCCGCAGAGAUGUGGAAGUGCUCGAAAGAGAGCCAGAACACAGGUGCUGCAUGGCCGUCGUCAGCUCGUGUCGUGAGAUGUUGGGUUAAGUCCCGCAACGAGCGCAACCCUUGUCAUUAGUUGCUACGAAAGGGCACUCUAGUGAGACUGCCGGUGACAAACCGGAGGAAGGUGGGGAUGACGUCAGGUCCUCAUGGCCCUUAUGGGUAGGGCUACACACGUCAUACAAUGGCCGGUACAGAGGGCUGCCAACCCGCGAGGGGGAGCUAAUCCCAGAAAACCGGUCGUAGUCCGGAUCGCAGUCUGCAACUCGACUGCGUGAAGUCGGAAUCGCUAGUAAUCGCGGAUCAGCUUGCCGCGGUGAAUACGUUCCCGGGUCUUGUACACACCGCCCGUC
rnacentral:rRNA from 1 species